GUCAGAGGUGAAAUUCUUGG
rnacentral:siRNA from 1 species